UAACUCCGCCUCCCAGCUGUUUUUUGUCAUUGAAGAGGCGGAGACUUACAGCCGCGCGAAGAGGCGCUGUUUCCUGGCGCUGGUUUUCGGCCUGCGUCUGGAGAUGGAAAAUGAGCUCAGAGCGUAUGAGCGGCCUGCUCAGGUUUCCACAGAAGGUGGCAGAGCUAGGAUUUGAACCCUGCUUGUGACUACUUGAGAGGAAAAGGGGCAAACUCCUCAGAAAGUUCUCACUGCUCCGGCACAGCCUCACUUUACCACAAGGGACAUGAAUAUCAAUCAACCUGGUAAUGGAGUACCCUCAGAUGGCAACUAGGAACCAGCUCACCGAUUAACUGUGUCACCUGUCUGUGUGUUGGUGUCCACCCACGUCAAAGCUAUCUGUACAGUGCCAAGAACGAUUCGGAUUUGAGAGAUGAAUAUUGUCAGUGUUUGGUGUGUGUUGGGAGGAGACUAGCUGUUGCAACAUCACGGAUGAUUGUCAUCCCCACCGUGAUCCUGUAGAAAUUUUGCGACAGAGAUGUUCAACCGAGAAACUGUUCUCCAUUUUCCUGAGUGCACAGUGGAGAUGUUAAGUACUUCAGUUACUGCUCUGAUUAAAAUCUAAACGGCUAUCACUUUCAGAGAAAUGUCCAAAUUUCUUUACCCUGUUCAACAAGGGAUGGAGAACACCACCACUUUGGGACA